GCAAUUGCAUCACAACCUGAAUGUUCUGGAUCUUGGAUUUCAAGACAGAAGGAGGCUCGUGAUGCCUACAAAGAACUAUCAGAAUCAACACAAAAUGAGGAGCUUGAUGGACAGACUGAAGCUGACAAAGAACCUACAUGUAUUGUAGUAAACUUAGUGGAAGAACAAGAACAAAAUGGUGAAAGGACAAGUGUACCAAGUUCUAACCCAAAGGGUAAAGGUAAAAGUAA